CUUUUCUUCUCCCCGUAUCUCUCUAACACAAAGACACACUUUGAUCUUUCUCUCUAAACAAACUAACAGCCACCGCCACCCACCAACAACCAUCAGAUCUGAAGCCAGUCACCAACAACCCACCACCAGAUCUGAAGCUAGUCCCCAUUUUCAACCACCAUUGCCGUCAUCACCUCCUGCCACCACCACUAGCCGCCACCACCUCCUGCCACCACCACUAGCGGCCGCCAUCGUCACCUCCUGCCACCACCACCAAGCACCCCACACUCCCUCUCUGCAUCCGACGCUCACGCUACCAACAUUGCCGUACACCCCUAGCCGCCGCAUCUGGAAAACGGUUGGUUGUUUCCCCAAACGAAACUGGUGGCAAACGUGUGGGGUGUGGACAACGGUUCAGAUGUGGGUGAGAGAGGUGCGGUGGUGGUGAUUUGAGCGUGGAUUCACCACCGCAGUUAAUACAGAGAUCAGAGGAACUUCAGGUUACAUGGACCCAGAAUACGUUGUGACUUGUGACCCAAGAACUAACAGAAAAAAGUGACAUCUACCGUUACGGGUUGUACUACUAGAUGAUGUGAAAGGGAGAACAAGUAAAGGUGGGCGCCGGAGGUUGGGGUGAUGGUGGUAGUUGGCCUUGCCGCCGUGGCUCCGCCACCAAGGGUGGCAGCCGGCCAUUUUCUAGAGAGAGGAACAUGAGAGAGAAGAGAAAGAAAGGGGAUAAGGUUUUUGGUUUUUUGGGUGUGAAGAUGAAAGGAAAAAAGAAUACAUAUUUUAAAUAUAAUAGGUGAAAUUACUAACCUACCCUCAUGUGCAAGUCACAUGCCAAAUUUAACUGAAAAUUUUAACCUUGUUAGGGCUAAAGGACCUAGGGUGUAAUGGGUUUUACAAAUAAAGGACUGUGUCUGUCAUUAUUGAAAUUAAA